CCGGGGAGUCGGCCUCGGGGCUCUGCUCUCCUACCUCAGUCUGCCCUACCCUGGAAUGGGGAAAAUGCGGACAUGCCACUCAGUCCGGCCGCGAACAGUGCUCCAGAACUCAGAGAGUUUUCCAGACGGGUGGAGAUCGCGUUCCCUGCCCGCCGAGGUCCCAUCGCUUCCCUGCUGGGAAGACAAAUGAGGCGCUUUAGCCGUCUCCACGGCCAGCCCCUCCCUCAUAACCCGAGAUUCUUUGUGGGCUCUUAGUCCAUAGCUGCCUUUGAGGUGGUGUAGACCUUGCUAACCAGGACGGCCCAGUAGGCAGAGCUCAUUUUUAUUCCUGUCUGCAAUCGUGCAAAAACGCCUCUUAUGGAAAAGCCAGAGCGCCAGGAGUCAGCAAAACACACUAAAGAUUGGGCAGUCACUGGGGAGAACUGCAAUUAACCUUUAAGAUACUACGUGUCAGGCCUCUGAGCCCAAACUAAGCCAUCAUAUCCCCUGUGACCUGCAUGUAUACAUACAGAUGGCCUGAAGCAACUGAAGAUCCACAAAAGAAGUGAAAAUAGCCUUAACUGAUGACAUUCCACCAUUGAGAUUUGUUCCUGCCCCACCCUAACUGAUACGAUAUAUUCUCCCCCGCCCUUAAGAAGACUCAGCCCGCCUGCACCCAGGUGAAAUAUACAGCCUUGUUGCUCACACAAAGCCUGUUUGGUGGUUUCUUCACACGGAUGCAUGUGACAUUUGGUGCUGAAGACCCAGGACAGGAGGACUCCUUUGGGAGACCAGUGCCCUGUUGUCGCCCUCACUCCGUGAGGAGAUCCACCUAUGAUCUCAGGUCCUCAGACCAACCAGCCCAAGGAACAUCUUGCCAAUUUCAAAUCGGAAGAUAGGAGUGUCAGGCCUCUGAGUCCAAGCUAAGCCAUCAAAUCCCCUGUGACCUGCACGUGUACAUCCAGAUGACCUGAAGCAACUGAAGAUCCACAAAAGAAGUGAAAGUAGCCUUAACUGAUGACAUUCCACCAUUGUGAUUUGUUCCUGCCCCACGCUAACUGAUACCAUAUAUUCUUCCCCCGCCCUUGAGAAUGUACUUUGUACACCUAUCCCAAACCUAUAAGAACUAAUGAUAAUCCUACCACCCUUUGCUGACUCUCUUUUUGGACUCAGCCCGCCUGCACCCAGGUGAAAUAAACAGCCCUGUUGCUCAC
rnacentral:lncRNA from 1 species